rnacentral:rRNA from 1 species
GACGAACGCUGGCGGCGUGCUUAACACAUGCAAGUCGAACGGAAAGGCCUCUUUCGGGGGGUACUCGAGUGGCGAACGGGUGAGUAACACGUGAGUAACCUGCCCUUGACUUUGGGAUAACUUCAGGAAACUGGGGCUAAUACCGGAUAGGAGCUCCUGCUGCAUGGUGGGGGUUGGAAAGUUUCGGCGGUUGGGGAUGGACUCGCGGCUUAUCAGCUUGUUGGUGGGGUAGUGGCUUACCAAGGCUUUGACGGGUAGCCGGCCUGAGAGGGUGACCGGCCACAUUGGGACUGAGAUACGGCCCAGACGCCUACGGGAGGCAGCAGGGGGGAAUAUUGCACAAGGGGUGGAAGCCUGAUGCAGCAACGCCGUGGGCGGGAUGACGGCCUUCGGGUUGUAAACCGCUUUCGCUCAUGACGAAGCUUUGUGUGACGGUAGUGGGUAAAGAAGCACCGGCUAACUACGUG